rnacentral:rRNA from 1 species
AUUGAACGCUGGCGGCAGGCUUAACACAUGCUAGUCGAGCGGGGAAGGGUAGCUUGCUACCUGACCUAGCGGCGGACGGGUGAGUAAUGCUUAGGAAUCUGCCUAUUAGUGGGGGACAACAUUCCGAAAGGAAUGCUAAUACCGCAUACGCCCUACGGGGGAAAGCAGGGGAUCUUCGGACCUUGCGCUAAUAGAUGAGCCUAAGUCAGAUUAGCUAGUUGGUGGGGUAAAGGCCUACCAAGGCGACGAUCUGUAGCGGGUCUGAGAGGAUGAUCCGCCACACUGGGACUGAGACACGGCCCAGACUCCUACGGGAGGCAGCAGUGGGGAAUAUUGGACAAUGGGCGAAAGCCUGAUCCAGCCAUGCCGCGUGUGUGAAGAAGGCCUUUUGGUUGUAAAGCACUUUAAGCGAGGAGGAGGCUACUUAGAUUAAUACUCUAGGAUAGUGGACGUUACUCGUAGAAUAAGCACCGGCUAACUCUGUGCCAGCCGCCGCCGUAAUAC